rnacentral:rRNA from 1 species
UCCGGUUGAUCCUGGCGGAGGCCACUGCUAUCGGAGUUCGAUUAAGCCAUGCGAGUCGAGAGGUGUAAGACCUCGGCAUACUGCUCAGUAACACGUGGACAACCUACCCUGAAGAGGGGGAUAACCCCGGGAGACUGGGGAUAAUACCCCAUAGACUAUGGAUGCUGGAAUGCUUUGUAGUUGAAAGGUCCGCCGCUUCAGGAUGGGUCUGCGGCCGAUUAGGUUGUUGUUGGGGUAACGGCCCAACAAGCCUGUAAUCGGUACGGGUUGUGGGAGCAAGAGCCCGGAGAUGGAUUCUGAGACACGAAUCCAGGCCCUACGGGGCGCAGCAGGCGCGAAAACUUUACAAUGCGAGCAAUCGUGAUAAGGGAACUCCGAGUGCCUGUAAAAUCAGGCUGUCCGCCAGUGUAAAUAACUGGUGAAGAAAGGGCCGGGCAAGACCGGUGCCAGCCGCCGCGGUAAUACCGGCGGCUCGAGUGGUGGCCACUAUUACUGGGCUUAAAGCGUUCGUAGCUGGUCUGUUAAGUCUCUGGGGAAAUCUUCCGGCUUAACCGGAAGGCGUCUCAGGGAUACUGGCAGACUAGGGACCGGAAGAGGUGAGAGGUACUCCAGGGGUAGGAGUGAAAUCCUGUAAUCCUUGGGGGACCACCUGUGGCGAAGGCGUCUCACCAGGACGGCUCCGACAGUGAGGAACGAAAGCUGGGGGAGCAAACCGGAUUAGAUACCCGGGUAGUCCCAGCUGUAAACGAUGCGCGUUAGGUGUAUCGGUGACCACGAGUCACCGAGGUGCCGAAGAGAAAUCGUGAAACGCGCCGCCUGGGAAGUACGGUCGCAAGGCUGAAACUUAAAGGAAUUGGCGGGGGAGCACCACAACGGGUGGAGCCUGCGGUUUAAUCGGACUCAACGCCGGGAAACUCACCGGACAAGACAGCUGAAUGAUAGUCGGGCUGAAGACUCUACUUGACUAGCUGAGAGGAGGUGCAUGGCCGUCGUCAGUUCGUACUGUGAAGCAUCCUGUUAAGUCAGGCAACGAGCGAGACCCA